CUGGGGUGUAAUAAAGUUAAGGUAUUGUUGAGAAAAACGACAAUAAGGCGGCUGACAAUUGUUGAGGAUGAACGUUUUAUUUUGUUAUCUUCAAUCGCUCGAAAUCCCUGGGAAAUUAUGUACAUAUAGCUUAAACUCGUCUUCAAACAGCAAUUAUGAAUUUGAAAAGUUAUUUGUGAGAGAAUUAAUUUCAGAAGAAGACAAAAUUUCAAGCGAGCAAUAUGGAAAUGAUAACGGCAGAUAUUAUAACGUGGCGACUAAAUCGCAAUAAUCGUCUGUGCAGCAUAUUUUUCGCUAAAUUGGUAAAUCUAGGUUACGUUCCAGUAUCACAAGUUAUCUCAAAUAGUCGAUAAAAUGAUGAAAUGACUUUGGCUUUUUUGAAUCUCAAGGGCAAGGAAUCAAUCAUUCAGGCGUGUUAAGCGUAGCUACUUGUGUUGCAAUGAAGAACAAGUUCAAGUUAAUUGCUCAGUUGACAAAAAGUAUUCACUCCAAUGUGUAGAGAUGUGUUUUGGCAUACAAUCUUAAUUUUGAUUAACGUACUUUAAUUGUUGUAAAAUCGAGCGAUUAGCGUUUAUUUUAGACACAUGAUAGUCGUCAUAGUCGCAAUCCAUGCAAGGAAUAUUUUAUGAUUUUCAUGCUCUUAAUUGUCUUUUAAACGAAAAUAACUCAACAGAAACAAAAGGCACGGCUUUUUCCAUAUUUACUCGAGAAUACUUUUAAAUUUGAUAAUUGAGAUUGAGUGUUUCUGUGUGAGCCGAACCCAAUCGGAAGAUGAUUGAAUGAUACACUGCACUGCACGAGCUCAAUGACAUUUUACAAAAGAGCGUUGGCUGUAGCCUCUAAACGUCUAGAAACCUAGACGUUUCAUAACGGGUAAAAAGAACUGUAUACAAACGUUUCAAUGUUGUCAUUUAGUUAUCCUAAUAUUUGUGUCUUGAUUGAGCUUUAAGAAUCUGAAAACUUAUGAAGUUUUCACGGGUAUGUCUCGCGAAGUCUUUUUAAAAUAUGUUUUCCCAAAACAAAAAGCGCUUUAUUCAUUAGUAUUGUGCACAUAAACGUCUACCAUUGUCGUACACGUGUCAAAGCUCACUUAAAUAUGUGUUCAUACGGUCUGUCUUUUAGGAUCCGAAAAAAUCGGAUCAUGUGAACAGGCCUUAAACAUGAUUAAUUAUUUAAAGAUAUUGCGAUCAUUAUAUGUCAAAAAUUACAUUUAUAAUGUAUAAAUAAAAAGCAUAAGGAAUUUUUGUGCUUUCUAUCUGUUGCAAAAUACGCAACUGAUAAGAGUCUUUCUAGUUCUUUAAGAGAAAUCGCCUUUAAAA